rnacentral:rRNA from 1 species
AACGAACGCUGGCGGCAUGCCUAACACAUGCAAGUCGAACGAGACCUUCGGGUCUAGUGGCGCACGGGUGCGUAACGCGUGGGAACCUGCCCUUAGGUUCGGAAUAACUCCCCGAAAGGGGUGCUAAUACCGGAUAAUGUCUUCGGACCAAGGAUUUAUCGCCUUUGGAUGGGCCCGCGUUGGAUUAGCUAGUUGGUAGGGUAAAAGCCUACCAAGGCGACGAUCCAUAGCUGGUCUGAGAGGAUGAUCAGCCACACUGGGACUGAGACACGGCCCAGACUCCUACGGGAGGCAGCAGUGGGGAAUAUUGGACAAUGGGCGAAAGCCUGAUCCAGCAAUGCCGCGUGAGUGAUGAAGGCCUUAGGGUUGUAAAGCUCUUUUAACCGGGAUGAUAAUGACAGUACCGGGAGAAUAAGCGCCGGCUAACUCCGUG